rnacentral:lncRNA from 1 species
GUGUAUAGAAAUACAACUGAUUUUUUAUGUUGAUCCUGCAGCAGUAGUAGCUGGAGCCAGUGGUGUGUACAUGUUCGGCUGCAGGAAGCCAGCUGCAGUACCUGGGUCGUGGCAGGGGCUAGUUGCAAACACACACACACAGUAGUGGGAACCAGGGCAGAGAGCAAGAGCUAAGGACAACUGCAGGUAAACUGGCAGCUCUGAGGGUCCUGGCUAUCAGUGUGCACUGAUUCUGGUCUCUGGUGUACCAGAGGUACAGUGGAGGCUGGUGUCAGGAUUCAGGGUGGAAACAUGUGGUAUAAAGCUGGAGGGGCUGGCUGGAGGUGAGCACAGGGCUACAGGCCAGGGAUAGGAGAAAGGGCUAGAUCCAGAUCCACAAGAACCUGUAGGGGCCCUGGUGUCAGAGUAGCCUUCUGUGGCUGCCCGGUCUGUCCAUGGCCAUGCACAAAGCAGUGGAGGCCAGUGACGGAAGUUGGGCCAGAGGCAUACAGGUGUGCAGCUGGAAAGAAUAGCUGUAGAUGUGCCCAUUGGUGCAGACCAGUGACAGCAGACAGGCCCAGAUCCAAGACCACAAGCAGCUGUGGAGGCCCCAGCCAUCAGCAUUCACUUCCAUGACCGUAAGGCCUUGUCAUGAGUGCACACCUGGCAGUGGAGGCUGAUGAUGGGCAUGAGACAAGCAAUGCAGGUGUACAGGUGGCGGGGCUAGCCUGGAGAGUGCACAUAGCAGUGAGGUCAACUUGGGAUGGGGGUGGGGUCUGGGGUCGUGUCUGGCACUCAUAUGGCCACAGAGGAUCCUGGGGUUGAGCUGGAGGUGGGGGCAGGCAGCGGGGAGAGACUCAGGAGGCUGGUGUCAGCAUACACAAAUAGCUAGGGCCGAAAACCCAGUGAAAUCUGCAGUGGCUGUGCUGUCCGCUUGGUUUCUUCAGUAGUGAAAGCUGCUGUUUUCAUCUGCAGGACUGGUCACAGGGAACAGUAGUUUCUUCCACUGUGCAUUUGAUUCUGGUAGCCCUGCUUUUCUUCUUUCUUCCCAGUCUUCUUUAGAUAUCUCACCUUUGCUGGUCUCUAGUGGGGGCGACUGAAGUGGGUCCUCAGUACCCCAGCAAGUUGGGGAAGCUGGUCACUCCACUCUUCCUUUCCCUGUAAGGGGACUCCUUCCAGCUGGGUAGUUUCCCUAGGUGCCGAGGAUGCAGUCUUGGGAGGUAGGAUGAUGAAGGCAAAGUGAAACUUCUUCCUUCUCUUUCUGUGUGGUUCUUUCUCAGGUUUUUUUGUUCUAGGGGUUGUUGAAUUAUCUAAUUUUUUUUUUUUUUCUGGCCGCACCCAUAGCAUGCAGAAGUUCCCAGGCCAGGGAUCAAACCUGCGCCACAGCAGUAACAAUGCUGGAUCCUUAACCCGCUGUGCCACCAGGGAACUCGUGAAAACUAUCUAAUUAUUGAUUUUUGUGAAGGGAUGGAGGCUGGGGGUCUCCUGCUCUGUCGUCUUGGUGAAGUCACUGAUAACUUCUUUAUAAAGUGAAUGGUAGGAUACCGGGAUGAUUUUAUCAUUGUUCUUUAAACUGAACAUGUAUGUAUACAUUACAUGUACUUUUUAGUGGGUGAAAUAUUUCUUUUAAAAAAUAAAAAAUCACUGCAAAAUAUCACCCCUAAAAUAGGAAAACAAUUAAUUCCUGGAAAUAACUGUUGUUAAGCAAAGGGAUGUGUGUUUGUGUGUAUUAUAUAUAAUACAAAUUUUAUAUGCAUAUAUUCUUUAAAGCAAAGCAUUACUAUAUUAUAAAUGCUAAUCAAGUACCUCAUUUCCUUUUUGCAGUUUUUUCAAGAAAUGAAUACACUGCCAUUAUACCCUAUAAUUGUUGUAUCUUUCUGUGCUUUCGCUACAGGAAUCCUUAUUAUCAAAUCCAAUCCCUGCCUGAAAACAUGCUGGAUGGCAAAUUUUUGAGUAGUGAGGGCCUGUCUUCCAUUUUUGACAUGAAAAAAAUAUUUCCAGUUUACAAAAUAUCCCAACAAAUUCCCCAGAAUAUCACUAAAACCCUUGAAAACAUGCAUGUAAACAAUUCAACUAAGGCUUGAAAAAAUAUUUAAAUAGCUUGUCUAUUUAAUAAAGUUCAACAAUCCCUUUGAUGUAUUUUUGUUAACCAAGCAAUGAUACUUUGAGGAAAUAAAGUGAUCAGUGAGAAAUACUACAGUGUGACCCCAAGAGAGCUGUCAUCAUUUCCUUCCUUCCUUACAUUCCCUCAUCCAGAGGCAGAGUCUGUUCCUCCACUCCCUUUGAAUCUGGGCUGGCCUUAGCAACUUAUAUGACAGAGGCGAUAUUCUGAGACUUCUCUCAACAGAAGCACUGCAGCUCUGUUCUGGGUCCACCAUCCUGUGAAGAAACCCAAGCUAAUCCUAUGGAGACACUAGGUCGAUAGGGUGACAUUCAGCCAACAGCAACCCAUUCUAACCAUGGGGCCAGACAUGGGAAUAAGAAGCCUUCAGGUGGACCUAUCUUCAGCAGUCACUUGAUACAACAGAGCGAGUGCUCCCAAGUGGCAGCCUCCCAGCUGCAACCUGUCCACACUUGAUCUAUGCAACAUGAUAAUAAAAUUCUUCAUUUUGAGCUACUAUAUUUUGGAAUGUUUGUCACACAGCAAUAGAUAACUAGAAUUCACACUAUCUUAUUGGGAGGACUGCUGAGGUAAGAUUGAAGUACACUGUACCUCCUUCUUGCCUGGAGUCCCACCAUUGAAAUGGUUUUGCUGGCAAGUGCAUGUGAACCCAUUCUGGUAGGGUUUGAGCCAUAAAACUGGUUAAAAUUUUUUGUAAGUUAUUACAGCAAAUAUUCCCGUAACAACACUUAAGGUAACAUGAUGUAUCAGUGAAGAUAACUAGCUGGGUUACAAGAUUAUAGAUUACUUUCAUCUUUCAAAACUUAGAUGCUGUUUCCACUACUUAAAAACACCAAAACUGGAAGUAUAAGGACAGCUUGAUUUUGAUUUUUGUCCUUUUGAUGUCAAAAACUUUUUUUAUGGAUGCUUAUGGAGUUUUUAUGCUUAUAGAAUGUUUUUGCCAGGCUAUGGCUAUAUAUGGAUCUCUCAUUCACAUAUUGAGUUCUUUGGCUCUAUAAAUUAUAACUAGGCUAUUUUUCAACUCAAGUUUUUCAUUGCUAAUAUCUAUCAUCUUUUCCAUAACUAUUUUCAGCACUUUAUCCUUAUCUGCUAAAAUUGUAUUAGUUUCCCAAGUUUUUCCUCCAUUACCAUUAUUCUGUUUUCCAAAUGAUCAAUUCUAUACCUAACACUCCCCAAGGAAAAUUUAAUUUGGACUAGUCUAUGCUUAGGUCAGGUCAAAAAGAAUUUAAGGCAACCUUUAUUUUAAUUUGAUCAUGUUGCCCCUUUAUCUCAGCCUAUUUACUAUUGCUUUCUAACCUAUUUUAUGAAUAUUAUGUUUUCUCUGCAUCCUAUUGAGGAUAAACUUUUUCCCUAAAGUUUUUUUCUGUCUUACAAUGCAACAAUAUCAGGAAUCUGAACUUUGUGAAGUUUUAAAAUGAUUUCCCUCUUAUUCUAUAGCAAUUAUUUCAUAAAGUCAUAUUUUCCUUAAAAAAAAAAAAAGUCUGCUCAGAUGAAUUGUGGGGACUGGCUUUGGACUCUCUCUUUGCCCAUCUGGAUAGUGAUUAAAAAUCCAUAUUCAUCCAUUUUCAAUUCAUGAAAAGCACUUGAUUUGCUCAUUCCCCACCUAACCCACUGUUUAGGCACUUUUUGUAUGCUGUGACAAUGCUGUACUAAAAUGGAACCUCCUCUUAGCUAUUGUCCAGAUUUCUGACACAUAGAAGGGAAAUACAUUACAUUGCGAUCUUUAACGAUCACUCCUAUCAGCGUUUUUCCUGUUAUCCUCCUGACUUACAGCACUUAAGGGACCUCAUUUUCCCGGAUACAAUUUACAUUCUUAUGCAUUUGUUUUCUGGGAGUUGGUAAACAUUUCCAAGACAAGCAAUACCAAUAGGUUUUAGAGAGAAAGAUGUGGGAGAGAGGAAUCUGGCUUCAAAGGCAGUUUUUCCUUGUCAUUAGGAGCACAAGCCUGGAAACCAGACUAUAUUCAAAUUCUGGCUUCAUUAUUCAACUGGCUCAAACCACACAGCCAACAUUGAUCAUUUCUGUGGCUCUACUUCCUCUUCCAGAAAUUGGGAAUAACAAUGUAAUUUAACCUAUGCAGAUACUGCAGUAAUUAAAUGAACUAAUGUAUUUAAUAUAGUAUCUGGAAUAUUAUAAGUAUUUGCUAUUAGGUAGAAUUAUCAUUCUUUUUCUGUUUGUUUAAGCAGAGGCCAUGCAGCAAAAAUACAUCUGUCCACUUUUCUCAAUGAUACAGAACUUUUACCUCUGACCCAGGGGCCAGUUGGUUGGGAGUGGAGAAAGCAUUUCUAGCUUUCAGGGAGACAACAGUCAUCAGCAGCAUAAAGUAAAUGACCCUCCACUUGGAUUUUUUGAAUAUAGUCCUUUCAAUUUUUAGUUCUUGGAACUUCAUUCUGUAUUUUGAUGGCAGGUUGCCCACUGGUUUUGGUUUACAGUGUUAUCCAGUUCAUCCUUAUAAGGAUUUUAAGGAGAAGUCAGGAGGGGUAUAGCAAAGGCAAAUCGAUCUUGGUACCAUUCUAAACCCUGAAUAUGUUCAAAUACUACAACUCAAGUUUACAUGACCGAGAACAGCUCCCAAGUCCAAUUCUCUUCUGUUUACACCAACAGCAAACGUCAAAUUCCAAAAAUCUCCUAAUGAGUCAGAAUUAUUAAAUGUGGACCCAAAAACAUCAGGACCUUGAAGGCUCAUGUACUCUAUCUACCAUAAAAUGUGUCUAUGUCCAUUUAUGCUGGAAAAAGUGUUUUAGAGACCUAAGAGAAUACAUAUGUAUUCUUAAUAACCUCAAGCACCAAGGAGCUCUUGAUUAUGUGAAUUCUGAGCCCAUUUCUGUGGUUGUAUAAAUACAGUUUUUCAGAGAGAAAAAUAGUUGGCCACCAGGUUCUAUAUAAUCUUUAUGCUCCUUAAACCUUAUUAGAUAAU